CACAAUCAGGUCCCAUUCUAUAGAUGGGGAAACUGAGGCUUGAGGUCACAUAGGCACCGUUCGAGGCUGGUAUCCCUGCACCCUCUCCCAUGUGAACAACAUGGUUCUGGGUAAUGGGGGCUGUCAUCCAGUCUCCUCCCUGCCCCUGCUGGUGCACUUCCUGCCUCUGCUGGUGCACUUUCUGCCCCUACUGGUAUAUUUGCUGCCUCUGCUGGGGCGCUUCCUGCCUCGGCUGGUGUAUCUCCUGCCCCUGCUGGUGCACUUUCUGCCCCCGCUGAUGCACUUCCUGCCUCUGCUGGUGCACUUCCUGGCUCUGCUGGCGCACUUCCUGCCUCUGUUGGUGCACUUCCUGGCUCUGCUGGCGCAGUUCUUGCCUCUGCUGGUGUAUUUCCUGCCCCUGCUGGUGUACUUCCUUCCCCUGCUGGUGGACUUCCUGCCUCUGCUGGCGCACUUCUUGCCUCUCCAGGCCCUACCUAGCCUCUCCCUCUUAUAUAUGGAAGUCUUCCCAGUUCACUGACACUGGUAACAGGGACUCUGCUCUUGGUGUUGCUGUCUGCCCUGGGGAUGGGCAUCUGUGUCUUCCUUUACUACUGCUGGCUCAGGACCCAGAGCUUUGAAGCAUGUCCAGAUGCAGGUCCGGGCACCAGAGUCUAAGGAGCCCCCACACCCACCAGGAUUUUCCAAUAAAGAGAUGUUCACCA
rnacentral:sRNA from 1 species